rnacentral:rRNA from 1 species
AUGUAUAAGUUUAAUCGCUUAUCGAGAAACCGCGAACGGCUCAUUACAAUGGCCAUUAUUUACUUGAUCUUGAUUGUCUAAAUGGAUAACUGUGGAAAAGCUAGGGCUAAUACAUGCACUAAAGCUUUGUCCUUACGGAAAAGCGCAUUUAUUAGAACAAAACCACGCGGCUUCGGCUGCUUCUUGUUGACUCAGAAUAACUUAGCUGACCGCAUGGCCUUGUGCCGGCGGCGUGUCUUUCAAGCGUCCACUUUAUCAACUUGACGGGAGCAUAAUCGACUCCCGUGGUGGUGACGGAUAACGGAGGAUCAGGGGUUCGACUCCGGAGAAGGGGCCUGAGAAAUGGCCACUACGUCUAAGGAUGGCAGCAGGCGCGCAAAUUACCCACUCUCGGCUCGAGGAGGUAGUGACGAGAAAUAACGAGACUGUUCUCUUUGAGGCCGGUCAUCGGAAUGGGUACAAUUUAAACCCUUUAACGAGUAUCAAGCAGAGGGCAAGUCUGGUGCCAGCAGCCGCGGUAAUUCCAGCUCUGCAAAUACAUAGAAUUAUUGCUGCGGUUAGAAAGCUCAUAGUUGGAUUCGUAUCGAUACCUUGGUACCCUUCGGGUGUCUCUAGGUGUUAUCGAUUUAUCGUAAUGUUCGGUUUUGAGUCCUUAACAGGAUUCUUAACAGGCAUUGCAAGUUUACUUUGAACAAAUCAGAGUGCUUCAAACAGGCAUUUUCGCUUGAAUGAUCGUGCAUGGAAUAAUAGAAAAUGAUUUCGGUUCAGUUUUAUUGGUUUUACGGACUGAGAUAAUGGUUAACAGAGACAAACGGGGGCAUUUGUAUGGUCCCGUGAGAGGUGAAAUUCUUGGACCGUGGCCAGACAAACUACAGCGAAAGCAUUUGCCAAGAAUGUUUUUAUUAAUCAAGAACGAAAGUCAGAGGUUCGAAGGCGAUCAGAUACCGCCCUAGUUCUAACCGUAAA